rnacentral:lncRNA from 1 species
UACUGUCCAGCCUGCGGCGGAUUCGGCGCGUACAUCCCUGGUUCCUGCUGUCUCCACCUAAAAUUAGGGUGAUUUCUCCACCCUGGAUUGUAGGUGUUGGAAAAGGGGUCGUUUCGCCUUGGCCUUUGUGCGUUCAUCUCUUGCUCAUCGGCGGAUCCCAUGCACGCUUGCUCAGUAUUAUUAUCCUGCAAAGAUGGACAUGCAUCA